rnacentral:rRNA from 1 species
GAUGAACGCUGGCGGCGUGCCUAAUACAUGCAAGUCGAGCGAACAGACGAGGAGCUUGCUCCUCUGACGUUAGCGGCGGACGGGUGAGUAACACGUGGAUAACCUACCUAUAAGACUGGGAUAACUUCGGGAAACCGGAGCUAAUACCGGAUAAUAUAUUGAACCGCAUGGUUCAAUAGUGAAGGACGGUUUUGCUGUCACUUAUAGAUGGAUCCGCGCCGCAUUAGCUAGUUGGUAAGGUAACGGCUUACCAAGGCGACGAUGCGUAGCCGACCUGAGAGGGUGAUCGGCCACACUGGAACUGAGACACGGUCCAGACUCCUACGGGAGGCAGCAGUAGGGAAUCUUCCGCAAUGGGCGAAAGCCUGACGGAGCAACGCCGCGUGAGUGAUGAAGGUCUUCGGAUCGUAAAACUCUGUUAUUAGGGAAGAACAAGUGUGUAAGUAACUAUGCACGUCUUGACGGUACCUAAUCAGAAAGCCACGGCUAACUACGUG